UCGUUUGAUUGAUUCAUAGUCAAUCGAGGCGAACCGGGGAAACUGAAACAUCUCAGUACCCCGAGAAAAAGAAAUCAACCGAGAUUCCCCCAGUAGCGGCGAGCGAACGGGGAGCAGCCCAGAGUCAACAUCAAUAUUUACCACAGGAGAAGGGUCUGGAAAAGCCGGCAAUAAAGGGUGAUAGCCCCGUAUCUAAAGCGGUAAGUGUUGUGAACUCGAAGAGUAGGGCGGGACACGUGUUAUCCUGUCUGAAUAUGGGGGGACCAUCCUCCAAGGCUAAAUACUCCUGACUGACCGAUAGUGAACCAGUACCGUGAGGGAAAGGCGAAAAGAACCCCGGCGAGGGGAGUGAAAUAGAACCUAAAACCGUGUACGUACAAGCAGUAGGAGCACCCGAAAGGGUGUGACUGCGUACCUUUUGUAUAAUGGGUCAGCGACUUAUAUUCUGUAGCAAGGUUAACCGCAUAGGGGAGCCGUAGGGAAACCGAGUCUUAACUGGGCGUUAAGUUGCAGGGUAUAGACCCGAAACCCGGUGAUCUAGCCAUGAGCAGGUUGAAGGUUGGGUAACACUAACGGGAGGACC
rnacentral:rRNA from 1 species